rnacentral:pre_miRNA from 1 species
UGUAUGUAUGUAUGUAUGUAUGUGUGUAUGUGUGUGUGUGUAUACACACACACAAACAUACACACAUACAUAUGUACAUGCAUACA